AGUAAAAUUAAUUAACCAGUUUUAAUAAUUGAAUUAUACGUAAAGAAAUUGUAAUAACAUAACCAAACAAAAUAAUACCUCAAAUUAAUCGUAUUUUAGAUUAAUGAAGUUCUCGGAUAAGGUAUCUUGGACUCUUCAAAAAGGAUCGGUAACAAAGAUUGGAUUGGAAUAAUUCUUCGGAAUGGUAUACUGGAUUAAUUGGAUCAGGAACCACUUAAUUUUCUUGUUUAUUAUUAAAGAUUUCAACGUCCAGCUUCAAAAAUACAUUCAAAAAUUUAAUCUACGGAUUUGCGUCCAAUUCUUCAUCAAAACUCCCAUAUGAUUGAUGGUUUUCGUUCUUGACAUGCUAAGAUUAUCGUUUUCAAUCGUUUCAACCGGACAAAUAUUAAUUACAAUAAGAAAUUAAUGAAAAAUGAAAUUUGAGGUUAUGUUACUGUCAAAAUUCUACAAAAUUACUUCGUAUUGACUUUACGUGGGUUAAAUACAAUAAUAAACGUAAACGAUCAACAAUACAUAACAUAUUUACAACAUUUUAUUAGUACAAAAACAAAUUUCUAUAAUUAUCAUUGGUAACCUCACCUACGAUCAAUACGAUUAUGCAAAAUUUAAAAAAAUAAUAAUGUAUGACAUGGUUUGGUUAUAUUACUAUAAUAUAGAUUCUUUUUUA